AGAGUUUGAUCAUGGCUCAGAACGAACGUUGGCGGCGUGGAUUAGGCAUGCAAGUCGAACGAAUCCUGGCCUUGUAGCAAUACCGGGCUGGGGGAAGUGGCGAAAGGGGCAGUAAGGCAUGGGUAACCUACCCUGGGGACCGGGAUAGCCCUUCUAACGAGGGGGUAAUACCGGGCAAUGUGUCGCGGGCGCCUGCUCGUGACACCAGAUGGUCCGCCGCCCUGGGCGGGGCUCAUGUAGUAUUAGCUUGUUGGCGGGGUAACGGCCCACCAAGGCCAAGAUGCUUAGCGGGUGUGAGAGCACGACCCGCGCCACUGGCACUGAGACACUGGCCAGACACCUACGGGUGGCUGCAGUCGAGGAUCUUCGGCAAUGAGCGCAAGCUUGACCGAGCGACGCCGCGUGCGCGAUGAAGGCCUUCGGGUUGUAAAGCGCUGUCGUGGGGGAGAAAGAUCCGCAAGGGUCUGAUCUAUCCCAGGAGGAAGCACGGGCUAAGUUCGUGCCAGCAGCCGCGGUAAGACGAACCGUGCAAACGUUGUUCGGAAUCACUGGGCUUAAAGGGCGCGUAGGCGGGUGACCAAGUCGGGGGUGAAAUCUUUCAGCUCAACUGGAAAAGUGCCUCCGAUACUGGUCGUCUGGAGGGAGGUAGGGGUAUGCGGAACUGCUGGUGGAGCGGUGAAAUGCGUUGAUAUCAGCAGGAACGCCGGUGGCGAAAGCGGCGUACUGGACCUCUUCUGACGCUGAGGCGCGAAAGCUAGGGGAGCAAACGGGAUUAGAUACCCCAGUAGUCC
rnacentral:rRNA from 1 species